UACGUAGGGUGCGAGCGUUAAUCGGAAUUACUGGGCGUAAAGCGUGCGCAGGCGGCGCGUUAAGACAGGUGUGAAAGCCCCGAGCUUAACUUGGGAAUUGCGCUUGUGACUGGCGUGCUGGAGUGUGGCAGAGGGAGGUGGAAUUCCACGUGUAGCAGUGAAAUGCGCAGAUAUCGGGAGGAACACCUAUGGCGAAGGCAGCUCGCUGGGACGUUACUGACGCUGAGACGCGAAAGCGUGGGGAGCAAACAGG
rnacentral:rRNA from 1 species